UGCAGCCUCCCUCAGUUCAGGUGAUUUUUGUUGUGAAGUUUUUAAAUCAAAGUCUGUCAUUUUCUGUUCGUUAUAUAGAUGUUCAAUGAAACCAUGCGCGAGAUAUGGAUGAUGCUUGCUAUAAAUUGUGUGAGAAACUGGUCCCCAAAAACUACAUCCAGCAAGGACAGAAUGCUAAGUCGAUUCAUCAAAGCAAAAUUAGGCAUUUGCUAGAACAGAGGAGAAUUCCAGAAGAGGGCUGGGAUGACCAGACCAUUGAGUUAUUCCUCGGUGAGCUUGCCAUCAUGGACAGUAACAACUUUCCAGACAAUUGUGGUGUUGGUGAGAGGGAGGCUAGGAUUUACUCCUCAUUGGUCAGCAAGCGGCACUUCCGGCUGGGUCAUGGAAUUGGCAGAUCAGGAGAGAUAACUGCUGUUCAACCCAAAGCAGCUGGCUCUAGUUUGAUUAUGACCCUUACAAACAGCUUGGCUCUUCAUGCCAUCAAAUUGUCAGGCAUUCAAGCAAGCAGCUGUUUUGUAGUUCCCAUGGCAACAGGAAUGAGUAUAGCAUUAAGUCUACUUUCACUUAAACAAAAAAGACCGAAUGCAAAAUAUGUUCUGUGGCCUCGAAUUGACCAGAAGUCAUGCAUCAAAUCCAUUGUCACUUCAGGGUUUGAACUGGUGGUCAUUGAGAAUGUGAGAGAGGGGGAAGAGCUGAGAACAAACCUAGAGGAAAUCCAACUACAAAGCAUUACAGGAAAAACUGAGCGAGUGUGCCAAAAAGCACGGGGAACGUUUACUGUCUACACCCCACAAUGGCAUUUCAAUGGGCAUGAGUUUACAAACAUUCCAGUGCAACACAGAGGAGGCUGUCACAGACUUGGGCUCCAAAUUGUUCACACGACUUGUUUCAGGAACAAGGGUAAUUCCUACCGACGGAAAGAAAAGUGAAAUCUGUGGGCGGACGUUUACAAGUUUUGGGGCCCACUGUGAUGAUUACGGUAGCCCGUAUCUCACUGCAGCGGCGGCCAUUGGAAUGACGUCACAGGAUAUCGACUUGUUUAUCACCAGACUGGACAAAGUUCUGACAAAAAGUGCCAAGACCAAAGACUCAAAUCAAGUAGAUUCUUGAAAGUUGUUAUUUAUAACCAAUUAACCAAUGACUGUCCUAGGAUUUAGUUAAUUAAAAGCUUAAAAUACUAU
rnacentral:misc_RNA from 1 species